GACGUAGGGCGCGAGCGUUGUCCGGAUUUAUUGGGCGUAAAGAGCUCGUAUGCGGCUUGUCGCGUCGGCUGUGAAAUCCCGUGGCUCAACUGUGGGCGGGCAGCUGAUACGGGCAGGCUGGAGUUCGGUAGGGGAGACUGGAAUUCCUGGUGUAGCGGUGAAAUGCGCAGAUAUCAGGAGGAACACCGGUGGCGAAGGCGGGUCUCUGGGCCGAUACUGACGCUGAGGAGCGAAAGCGUGGGGAGCGAACAGG
rnacentral:rRNA from 1 species